UUUGGCAGUGGCCAGCAGCUGCCACGCUGAAGGCUGUCUGCAGGUAGCUCUCUGUAGGUGCUUUGCUCUUAGGGUUUGAGCUUGCCAGCUGUCUGAACCCUGUUAGAAAACUCUGCCUUGGAACCCUGUCUGCCCCUGACAAAGAUUAGUGUCAUUGGUAUUUACAAGAUCCAAUGGAUUUUGUUUUGUUUGGCAUGAGGAUUAGAAAGAAGAGCUAACUUAGGUAGAGAAGGCAGGAGCCAUCAUCAAAGAUAGAAAACCGUGGCGCUUAUCCUUGACCGGAAAUCUCUAAGGCUGACUCACCAGAGAAUUCAACACUGAUGUCUUCAUAGUAAAUACUUAGAUUCAAUCACCAACUGUGAAGCUGUUGUCGAAACUUCAAACUCUCAGGUCUAAAAUAAAACAUCAAGAUCUUUUUGUUUGAUAUGUGGAGGGCACAUGUCACUGGGUCUGGAAGCAGGCUUUGGAAGUUACUGUACCAAAUCUCGUCUAUUGUUCCUAUGUCUGUAGGAUUCUGGGGCACUCAACCUAUGGCAGGAGAGUGAAGUGAAACUCUUGGUUUCUGCCUCUUGAACUGGAUUUUAGGAAACUCGUUAUUGAUUCAAGGUGUGCAAUGGAACCCACAAAGAGAGAAGGAAGAGAAGAGCAAGGAAGAUGGGGAGGAGGAGGGGAAAGAAGGGGGAAGAAGGCCAGAAGGUGAUGCUGCCACUUGAGGAAGUUGAGGAAGAGCACAAAACUUCUACUCUAUUCCUCUCUCCUGAAAGGCUUGUCUAUCUAUAAACCAUGUUAGCUACAAUAACAACCUGCCUGGAAAGAUCUGCCCAUUGGUGCACUGAUGGAGUAACGAGCACGAGGAGAAAAUGUUCAUCAUGACAUCACUCAAGCAUUUUAAAAGAUUCAUGAAUUUGUCUCCAGAAGAGAUUCUUCCUUCCCAGUUACCCAUGCUCUCUAUAAAGAAAUACAAUAUGGAAGAUUUAUCCCAAGAAGCACAAGCUGGCAGUUUUUAAACAAAAUAAAGCUGUCAAACAUA